rnacentral:tRNA from 1 species
GGCGGGAUGGCAGAGUGGACAAUUGCGCUGCUCUUGAAAAGCAGUGUCGCCGAAAGGUGACCGGGGGUCCGAAUCCCUCUCCCGCCGCCA